rnacentral:lncRNA from 1 species
CUGACCUAGGAUACACUUUAUCCUAUUCUGACAGUAGAAAGGCACAUAACAAUUUCACUUAAAGCAUUCACAUAAAAAAUUAAUGGAAACUGCAAAAAGGGAAACUCCAAAUACAAAAGAUCCUUUAAAGAAAAUUCUCAUCUUUGACAUUAUCUUUUAAAUUAAGUAUAAUCCAGUGAAUAGUGAAUAGCAAAAUAGCAUUAAAAAAACAAAAAACAGGGAAAAUUUUCUUAGAGCAGGAAUCUUCGUCUUUAUAGAGUCUACAUUGAAGUGGUGUCCUCCCCAAAUGCACAACCGUGACUUACUGACAAACAAGGCCCUACAGCACUGAGCACAGUAGAGUCCCGAACACGCUGCUGAGUCACAUGGAAAAUUCAAUUAAACAACAUACAGAACGAUAACCAAGGACAGAAUGACGAAAAGUAUACUGAUAAAAACCAAAACCAUGUGAAAUGUCAGAAAACUAUCUGAAGACCAAUACUAAUUAUAUUCUUAGAUGUAUUUUGAUGAAACAUUGUGAACUUUGACUGGGUGACAGAUUGUCUUUGGGUCGUUUUCACGGAUACAUAAACUUCUCUCCGAAGGUUCUGAACUUGAAAUUUAUUUACUCUGAGUGUCAUGAGCC